rnacentral:misc_RNA from 1 species
UUGAAAAUACAGAUAAAAAAUUAAUUAAUCAGUUAAUUGUUUACAAAACUUGACCAUACCCCAAUAAAAAAUAUCAGCACUGCAACCAGAAUUUUCAAAGACUAAAGAAGCCUAGUACAAAUGGAGCAGAGGAUAAGCUGCACAAUGAAAUUCAGAUAAAAAUAGGGUGGCAGCAUCUUUCAUUACAACAAAAGUGGAUGACCAAUAUAUUGUGGCAGAAUCCAGCUCCCCUUGCACCACCGGAUUUCAACAUGCAACAGCAUGCCCGGACAUAUGAAAGUAUUUUUUCCCUUGUCAAUAGUAACUGUUCAACCAAUUUGCCAUUGCUAUCAAGUAUACA